rnacentral:rRNA from 1 species
UACGGAGGGUGCAAGCGUUAUCCGGAUUUACUGGGUUAAAGGGUGCGUAGGUGGGUCUGUAAGUCAGUGGUGAAAUCUCCGAGCUUAACUCGGAAACUGCCAUUGAUACUAUAGGUCUUGAAUUAUCUGGAGGUAAGCGGAAUAUGCCAUGUAGCGGUGAAAUGCUUAGAUAUGACAUAGAACACCAAUUGCGAAGGCAGCUUACUACGGAUUGAUUGACACUGAGGCACGAAAGCGUGGGGAUCAAACAGG